AACACUACAAUAUCAAAAUAUCAAAGUUUACCAAAGUAUCAUUCAAAAAACAUCCAAAACCAAAACUAUCCAUAUAACAUCAAACUCCCAAAGGUUUAACUUCAAAAUAACAUUUUAGCACCAAGAAAUCCAAAAUAUGCAUCGGGAAAUGAGUUUUCACAAAACAUAAUUUCAAAAUAACAUUUUAGAUGCUCUCUUCAUUUCAUGUCCAUCCAAUCAUCUUCGGUUCACAUUCCUAUAAAAUAUUAUUCAAAACAAUCAAAAGUAUCAAAUACAAAAGGUUAACAAGUCAUGCAAAAACAUCAAAUACUAAUGGUUAACAUCAUAUUACCUCUAAUUUUCAAUUUCUCAUCAUAUUUUGCAAGGCUGCAUACAUCUUCUCCAUUGCUUCAUAUUUUGCAUCAAUUUGUUGUUGUUUGACAUCUAUUGCUGCAGCUUUCGCAUCCAUUUCCUCACGCAUUUGUUGAUGUUUAGCUUCCAUUUCUGCAGCUUUAGCAUCCAUUUCCCCACGCAUCUCAUUUCGUACACGUUCAUAGACAACCUAAAGUACAAUGCCAUGAUAGGAAACUUUGUAAGUACAAUGCCAUGAUAGGAAACUUUGUAAAUACAAUACCAUGAUAGGAAACUUUGUAAGUACAAUGCCAUGAUAGGAAACUUUGUAAGUACAAUGCCUUGAUAGGAAACUUUGUAAAUACAAUACCAUGAUAGGAAACUUUGUAAGUACAAUGCCAUGAUAGGAAACUUUGUAAGUACAAUGCCAUGAUAGGAAACUUUGU
rnacentral:lncRNA from 1 species